ACCCACGCGCUGGCUCUCGCGAUCUCCAGAUUAGCGAGGCACUUGCCGCACGAGAUAGAUUGUCCGCACCAGCGAAUAUAUCGCUAAAUUAAAACACAUAUAGGGUUGCGCUCGAAUUCGGUAUUAGGGAGUAUCCCAAUCUCGGUGAUAUUUUUUUUCUCAGCAAAUACCGUACUGAUUUCGACAACGCUUGUUGAACUUAAAGGGAGUUAAAAAAAUAACAUUACGCAGCUGAUUUUGAUUCGAAACCAUCGCAUGGCCCAUUGAGCGAAAAAGCCCGCGUCCAUAAUCUGUAGCAGCGAAACGGCACAUAAACUCUGAUAGCCAUUGACUUUGACGCUACGACCCUACUUCGCCUCGACGGAGUUCCCACUGGCUGCGAUGCCACAUCAUGAGCUGCGGCUCGACGAAUCGGAGCACGCGAAAGGGAACACCGGUUGCCGGGAUAGCGCAACACCACCUGGACAAGAGAAGGCCUCGGCGCACCGCAACGACGAGCGUUCGUGCACGAACGCGCGCGUCCGUGGUGACCCAUGUGCUUUGUCUUCCAGCGCGGCGGUUGCGCGGGCAUGUUCAGACGUGUUUUCGGGCUUGCCCGUGCCCUAUGCUUUUUGGGCUGGUCUGUAAGGGGCUGGGCUGCACGUGCGAAAGAACGUUCGUCAUUCUUACGUAUCUCCUGUGUGUGCGGUGUGUUUGCAAGAAUGUGUGCUGUCGGCUCGACAAGGUUUUACGGUGGAAAUGCCCAACUAGUGCUGUGUGCCGAAGUGUCGUCAUUACAAAGCACACCAGGGUUUGAGAACUUCAGUUCAGACAGUGACAUCGUCCGCCACGCACCGUACUUGGAUGACGCCACAGGACGCAUAGUUAGUGCACCAUGAGCCCACAUCCGGCUUCGCGCGGAUGCAGUACCAUCGCUGUUUCCCGAGUGCCCGAAUUAUGUGUCAACCCUACGAAAGACAAGAGCAAGCCCAAAGGCAAGGCGACUGCGUCUUGAAUCAGUUGCAUUACAACGCGCGCUCCAACAUUCUACAGCGCCUGAACAGUUCUGUGUCAGUAAAAUCACCUUGAUAAUCCUCUG